GCCGGGCCGGGACCAGGAAACAGCGGCUCGCACUCCGGCAGCAACAGGCUGAGGCCGCCCUGGGGUCCCUCCCACCGGCCGCAAAGCCAACCCGCCCGGGUUUUAGUGGCUGCGAGGUCCUCCCACCCUACUCCACGGCGCCUCCCAGCGCGGGGCUCCUUCCGUCCCGGAACCCCGCCUGGCUCCCGCCUCCCGCGCGGCUACCCCUUUGCUGGGGGGAUGGCGUAGCACUUCCUGAUCGCAGCGGCCCUUCUCACCGCGAGUCCCAACUGUCUCUUCCCCAGUCCCCAGCCUUUCAUCAAUCCCGAUAUUAGAGGAUUCCCGUUUCACCUGUCUUCUGGACAACCUUUGGAGCUGCCACUGGCAACGCACAGCCACGCGGCCAAAGUGGAACCCAGCAUCCCUCAAACAAGUGCCUUCUCCCAGGAUUCUCAGUUUCUAACGGGAUACCACCAUCCACUCUGGUGUGCCCACACCAGAUAGUUGAGAAGGAGACCUCCAGAUGGCUGGGAUGCUUCCGAAGAGCCCACCUGAGCCCAGGUUAGAAGCCCUGAAAGGCCUCAGCAUUACACCUGGGGCAAGCGGAAUAAAAAAAGGUCACUGGCACUUUUUAAACAUGGACCAAAAAGCAGUAAAAUGUGUUUUGAAGAAAAAAUCCCGACAUUAAAUCAUGACUUUUUGCCUGGCUCUUCGCCUCAUUAAAAGUGGCCUUUUGGAAGUCAACAAGUGCUGACGUCGCCGUUGUGCCAGCCCCAUUCCUGGACUUAACGGGUGCAGAACUGAGGCAUCUACUGUAUGACACUGUUCUCGCCAGACCCCUGGACUGAAGUCUGAGUGUUAUCCGAGCAAGAUCAGGGUGAAACAGAAGAGGAAAGAAUGAACAAUUAUUGUGUACCCACCACACGUGACAGGCAUGGGCUAGGAACUUUAGAUGUGUCAUCUCUUUAAAUCUUCACAAAAACUUUACAAAGUUGACUAGCAGGCUACGUGACACCUCUCUGCUCACACAGCCCAUGCAGGGUUUGGGAUUUGAGUUCAUGUCUGAUGGAGUCCAAAGUGCUACUUUUCGGUUGGCCACACAGCCUCCUAAAGACACUCAGGGGUUAGGAUGGAGGGCUGAGCUCUGAGUUCUUUUUCUCUCUUCAUUUUGGGGAGUGUACUUCUGACCCUGGGCUUUAGUUUAUUGCGCUGGUGAAUAGAAAUGGAGACGUCUCGGGCCAGGAUGUCCAGCCUCUCCCUUUGCCAGUCCUAUGGAUCUUUUCCUGGCAAUCCUCUUCCCCUUCCCUCAAGUUGGACUGGUACUACACCAGACUCCUCCCCUCCCCCUGAGCAAGCGCCCCACUGCCCUACCUUUCCUCCAGCAACCUGCUUACCUCCAAGUGUGCUUGGUUCCCCCAGACACAGGAGUCUGGCGAAGGGCCCACCUUGGAGAAGAGAGUCCGAGCCCUGAGCUGCUGGCAGCCGGCUCCGGCCCGGCCCAUCCGCUCUGCUCUGCCUUCGUCCCUCCCUGUUUCCACAGCCCGCCCCCAACGAUUUCCUCCCUUCUUAGUCACUCGCUGCCUAGUGAUCCAUGGGUUUUAAAUUAUAACUGGGACCCAGGAAACGCGUUCCUAAGUACAAUAUUCAUGGGCUGGGCUGACACUUUUAAUUAAGGUGAUUUACACUGAAUUAUCCUUGGAAAUAAAGAAAUGGUGUGCUGCCCGGGAAUAAACCAUCAUCACCAGCCGCCUUUGUAAGUUACACUUCGUUUUAAUCUAUUUGGGGAAUUGUUUAUCUAGUUCAUUACCCAACCGAACACCGAGGCCGGCCUUAAAUAAGGCUUAAGUGGGGGUGGGGGCACUGCCAUCUCCACACCCCGCCUCCCGUCUAGUCACCCAGCCUCCCUCUGGCUCCUUCCAGCCCCUUUAAAGCACUGACCAGAGAUCCUGCUUCCCAGCCUACAGGCCAGAUCUCAAAGUAGGGAAGCCUCCAGGAAAAGGUCUCUGAGCUCAGGCCCCACCAAGCCAAGCCCUCCUUUCAGCUCUGUGCAAUCUUUCCGCAUCCAAGGCUCUUUCCUCUCUCUGGGUGGAAACUCCUGUUUGAAGGCCACAGAGAAGACUGGGGGCCACUCCCCGACCUACCCUUCAGCCUUCAGCCCCCAUCUAUUUUCCUGCCUGUCUGUACACAUCGUCUCCACCCCAUCACCAUCCUAGAGAAAGCUUAGCGUGCCCAGAGCUCUGUCCGCUGUCCCCUCCUUCCUUCAGAUAUCUGCUUCUCUGCCAUCAUCACUCUUCCCGUGACCCAAGUCAGAAAGCUCUUCCUAGUAAGUACCCCACAAGUAAUCAGCUAAGUUCUCUUGCUUCUCCCCCCCCCAGUCUCUCAUUAUUCCUUCUCUGUUCCCACUGCCACUGCCAUUGUCCUAGAUCAGCUCCACAACCUGUCCCCUGGACCCUGCCUAACCUCCUCACCUGCUUCCCCGCUUCUACCCCCAAAUCAUGUCCCACACUGGCCUCCAGAGUGAUUCUCCUACAGCUCAGCUCUCUGAUAGGCUUCUCCAGCUCACUGAUGUUCUAAUUCCCCCAUUACCUCCAAGACCACCCUCCAGCAUCGAAGGCCCUCCACUAUCUGUCCUCAGUCUAACUUUGCCCUUCUCGUUCUAGGUAGCCGAGUCCUGGGGCCUUUGGAGUUCCUGUGCAGGACUGAGAGGGGGAAUGGUAGAAGAUGGGGUGAGGGAGGGUGUGUGGGCACAGCCUCUGAUCUCUAAUGGAAAAGUGCUUUGAAAAGUGUAAGUGCUUUGCCAAUGGGAGUUCUGACUCUUCUUCCUGUGUCUGUGUGCCCUUGUGCCUGUGGGAAUGAGCAUAUGUGGGAAGUGGUUCUUUUAGGGGGUAGGUGUGAGCACAUCUAUGUGUGUUGGAAUGGGGCUGUGUGCGUGUGUGCCUGUAUGUUGUGGACAUACAUUUGCACCUGUGUCUGUGAAAACCAGCCAGCCCUAGUUUGGGAGCUGGAAGGUCCCUGCUCCUCUGUGUGAGCCCUUGGGUGUGUCUAAAAUAGCAGCCUGCUCUGUGCUGUUGGGCAGAAGGGGGCAGAGAGCACAAACCAGGCCCACCCAGAAGAGCUCCUCUGGGACCAACCAUGUGGGAGGGUGAUGGAGAGGCACCCUGGCAGCAGCAUCCACAGACUCAGGAGCUGGCUAGGCUGAGGGAAGGGAAGGAGGGCAAAGGAGGCAAAGGCAGGGUAAGAGAGGG